rnacentral:rRNA from 1 species
GAACGACUCUCGGCAACGGAUAUCUCGGCUCUCGCAUCGAUGAAGAACGUAGCGAAAUGCGAUACUUGGUGUGAAUUGCAGAAUCCCGUGAACCAUCGAGUCUUUGAACGCAAGUUGCGCCCGAGGCCUUCGGCUAAGGGCACGCCUGUCUGGGCGUCACGCA